CCUACGGGAGGCAGCAGUAAGGAAUCUUCCGCAAUGGGCGAAAGCCUGACGGAGCAACGCCGCGUGGGCGAUGAAGGCCUUCGGGUCGUAAAGCCCUUUUCUGUGGGACGAUAAUGACGGUACCACAGGAAUAAGCCACGGCUAACUACGUGCCAGCAGCCGCGGUAAUACGUAGGUGGCUAGCGUUAUCCGGAUUCACUGGGCUUAAAGGGCGUGUAGGCGUUAUGAUAAGUUAGAUGUGGAAUCCCCGAGCUUAACUCGGGAAUUGCAUCUAAAACUGUCAGGAUUGAGUCAUACAUGGGAGGGCGGAAUUCCUGGUAUAGCGGUAAAAGGCGUAGAUAUCAGGAGGAAGGCCGGUGGCGAAGGCGGCCCUCGGGGUAAUGACUGACGCUGAGGCGCGAAAGCGUGGGGAGCAAACAGGAUUAGAUACCCCUGUAGU
rnacentral:rRNA from 1 species